rnacentral:piRNA from 1 species
GGUCAGUUGAUAGCUGAAGGUCGGUAGGCUG